UACAGAGGUCUCAAGCGUUGUUCGGAUUCAUUGGGCGUAAAGGGUGCGUAGGCGGGCUCUUAAGUCAGGGGUGAAAGCCCAAGGCUCAACCUUGGAAUUGCCUUUGAUACUGAGGGCCUUGAGACCGGAAGAGGUCGGCGGAACUGCGAGUGUAGAGGUGAAAUUCGUAGAUAUUCGCAAGAACACCAGUGGCGAAGGCGGCCGACUGGUCCGGUUCUGACGCUGAGGCGCGAAAGCGUGGGGAGCAAACAGG
rnacentral:rRNA from 1 species